AAACUGCGAUAAGUAGUGUGAAUUGCAUUUAGUGAAUCAUCGAAUCUUUGAACGCACCCUGCACUCACUGGUAUUCCGGUGAGUACGCCUGUUUCAGUAUCAUUGAAAACACACAAUCAAAACAUUUUCUUUGGUUUGAUUGGCUUUGGGUCUAUCAAAAAGUUUGGCUUGUUUCUUACAAGCCAAGCGGCCUGAACUAUAUUGUCUGGCUAAUUGCAUCGUUGAUGAUCGCUAUUAGACUUUGGCUUUUUUAAAUGAACUGGAGGUUGAUUAACCAGUUUUAGCUUUAGUCAAAUGGUCAUUGUAAAAAAAAUCUCGAUCUUGGCUAGGUGUUUAUAGCCGAAAAUUUUUUUUUGGCUAUAACCGAAACCAAUAUAAUCACAUUUAGUUAUCGAUCUGAAAUCAGGUGGGACUACCCGCUGAACUUAAGC
rnacentral:misc_RNA from 1 species